rnacentral:rRNA from 1 species
GUAGGUGGCAAGCGUUGUCCGGAAUUAUUGGGCGUAAAGCGCGCGCAGGCGGUUCUUUAAGUCUGAUGUGAAAGCCCACGGCUCAACCGUGGAGGGUCAUUGGAAACUGGAGAACUUGGGUACAGAAGAGGAAAGCGGAAUUCCACGUGUAGCGGUGAAAUGCGUAGAGAUGUGGAGGAACACCAGUGGCGAAGGCGGCUUUCUGGUCUGUAACUGACGCUGAGGCGCGAAAGCGUGGGGAGCAAACAGGGAUUAGAUACCCUGGUAGUCCACGCCGUAAACGAUGGGUGCUAAGUGUUAGGGGGUUUCCCGCCCCUUAGUGCUGCAGCUAACGCAUUAAGCACUCCGCCUGGGGAGUACGGCCGCAAGGCUG